rnacentral:misc_RNA from 1 species
CUUUUUUGGAAAAAAAAAGUAGCAGGAGAAGAGGUAGGCAUAUCAAUAUUUCCUUACAUAUGAUUAAUUUUGCCUGCAUGUCAGCCAAAGUUGUAAUGGAUGAUUAACAAAAUAUUCAAUCAUCCCAUUUCCUGGACCCAAAAAAUUAAACUGGAGAUAGCUUCACCCCUAAGAACAAAAAUUAGAUGGAAAUCAAAAUAAAAGGAGAAUUUAGGGUAAGGGGGCAAAAAUCAUCAUAGGCCUUUUUACAGUCAUUUCAUCAGACAAAGUCAAGGCCCUCAACUGAAUUAGCAAAUCCUGAGAAUAGCAACAGCUUCAGGAAUCCACAGGCAUCAACUAUAGCCGAGAUAGAGGAGAUGGCAUGCAUGAAAAAUGUCCACAAGUCGAUACAUCAACCAUGGUUCACUUUCAGCUAGCCUAAACAAAAGCCCCAUCCCCAAUCCAUUGCUGCCCAUUGAUUCUGCUACUUCAAAGUUUCAACUAGACAACCAGAAAAUAGACCUCAUCCGAACUUUCCUCAUAACGAUUCUCUCUACUCUCCUCAUUGCCACUACUCUGGUCACUAUUAUAGCUGCUUUCUGAUGUACUCAUGAACGACGAACCAUCUGAUGUGGGACUGCUCAAUUGUGAUGGCAGGCUGACUUCACUAUUUAGCUCGCUUCCCUCUGGUGGAAACUCGGCCAGCAAACAGAUAUCAGGCCUUGCUUCUAAUACCUGCUUUAUAGGUAUGAUACUCGAACUGUAACAUCUCUGGUACCAGUCACCUUCAGAAGCUAAACCUUCCCUGUUGGAUACAUCAAGAUGUCGAAGAAACUUAAAGUCUCCCGCAAUAACUGCCAUCAAUAGACGAGCAACUUCAACCUCUUUGAGAUGCAU